UUUAAAAAGUCAAGCACAAGUCAUAAUAUAUCGCAGUGGUGAGUGUGAAAAUAUAGCUUUUUGCUCCUGCCCGGUGGAAAUCAAGGCUGUCCCCCUCACAUAAAUUCAGCACUCUACAAUGUCAGCUGUGACAUGAAAAUAUGAAGAGAAAUGGGCUACUAUCUGUUUGCUGCAGCUGUUGAGGCAGCCUGGGACAUCAGUUUCACUCAGGGACAAACACCAAGAGGCAAAGUCAAGGUAUUGCCCAGUGAUGCUCUUCAAAAAGUUAAAAUUAAGCCUAUGAAUCAGGCUGACUAAAUGCCAUUAUUUCAUGUGGUUUCACUUGUCCUCCCGUACUCAAGGUGGUGGCCGAGAAACGUGUAGAGCACAGGUAAGUCAGGUGAUAAGCAAAGGAAGCCCUCCAGCAGAACAAGCUCUCUCCCACUGCCUCCACUCUGCAGAGACUGUCCCAGCAGCAGGAUCUUCCCUGGUGCCUCCACUGAAAGAUGCAGAGGAAAAGCCCCAGUCUGGCAUGUCAAGACCUGGUGCACAACUGCGACUGCCACAGUGCAGGACAGUGGAUGAGCCAGUCUACAAGACCACAUAUAGUCUACUAAUAUCUGUAGAUAAAAUGAAAUGAACAGCUGUGACUGGAAAACUAAAGGUACAGCCUUUUAAUUUUUUUACCAUGUAUGCUUCCAGGUAAUCUGACAGACAGGGUGAAGUCCAUUGAAAAUCACAGACACAACUGCUUUCAAAUUAGCAAAAUUGGGAUAUCUCUGACUCCUGUUAAAAUGAGCAAAAUAAAAAAAUUAUGAUGUGGCUGUCACUAAUUAAAGCAAUAAUUAGUGUGAUGUUGACCUACUUUAAAGAUUUAUUUCCUCAUUUCUCUUCUGUAGAGGAUUUAAAAGGCCAAUCCAAAGAAGUAAUUUCCUCUAAAAGAGUGCCAAAACCCCCAAAGAAAAAAGAAAAAUCAGAAGGUUUUCCUUCUUUGAAUUUCUUUUGCUCAAUUUCAAGCAAUUAAAAUGUCAGAUUCCGUGCCUCAGUCAUACCAAUGAAACCACGUGUAGGUUUCAGGUCACAAGUAUUUAACAAAUACAUAGAAAUCUUGACUUUUUAAUUUGUCAGCUAAGAAGAAGGCAUUACUAAUUUUACCAUGGCCAGUACAAAAUCAAAACAACAUAUAUGUCUCUUCAGAUAGUUCUUCUGCAUUUACAUGUUCACAAACUUGAUUUUAGUGAGCUUGACUUUUUAGCAGAAUGUUGCAAUCCUAAAACCAAGGACAAGUCUUAAACAUGCAGGAAGGAGAUUCAAAGCAGGUAGGAUGCAAUACAUGUCUGGAAAAUAAUUCCAUCCUUCCCUAUAUGAAAUCUGGAUUUAAGAUGGCACUCCAGCACAUACUGCAGUCCCCAGCUGUGUUCAGGCCCUGUAGCUCCAUACUGGGGUAAGAGAUUUCCUGUGCUCAGAGCCACCCACAACUGUCAGGAUCAGGCAGGCACUUGGGGGCUGUUGAAUCCACUUGACCUGAAGAUUCAUACUACUCACAAGAGUAACGGGCAUGACCAAGGCCAGUGGUCAUACUAUGUGCUUAAUGCAGUCAAUUAAACAUAUCCAGGGACUUCCUAAUAUUAUACAUGCACAAAAUAGAGUAUUAAUUCUGCAUUAAGAGAAGAACUGUAUAAUAAUAGCAGAGGUAGACCAGAAAUACUUUUCCUGAUCUAAGAAAAAGAAGGAAGGACUUUUGAAAUAUUAUGCAAGAAAAAACAGAAUUACUUUAAGGAUCAGGAAUAAUAGAAUUAAAUGUCACAUAAGAAUCUAGAAGAUCACACUCUGGAAUUAAUUAAACAGUUUCAUGUUCUAAGUUAGGACUACAAAUGGCUGGAGGCAAUGGGAGGAAAAAGCUGUAAGGUAUUGUUUGGUUGCACAAUAUCUGUAUGCUAGGUGUGUGAUAUACAACGGGAAAGAAAAAAAAGCCAGUGGGAUGCUAUUAGAGGAAAUUAUUUUAUGUUGUAACCCUCAGUGCAGGCAAGACUUCAUUGGGAAUAUUAUUUACGGUCUGAUCAGUCAUGGUCAGCCAAAGGGCUGCCAAGACAGAAAAGAGGAUGAAAAGCCUCCGGUCCAUGAGGUGAUGGCAAGAACUUGAUUUGUGAGUUCAGUGAAGUGAAGUCAGAGGGGACGUAUGAUGGCUCUUGGCAAAUACCCAAGAAGAAACAACACUGGGAUAGGCAAAAAAGUAAUUGUACUUCGGGAUGCUAGCACUAACAUUAUCUUGAGGGGUGGGAAAUCAACAAAUCCCAAACUAAUCUAAGCAUAAAGGGAAGUAAAUUUGUAAACAGUCUUCUCAUAAACUGGUGGAGUGGAAAAAAACCUGAUUUUAAGAGCAAGCAACUGAAUUCAUUUACUAGGAAGAUUAUUCUGAUCUUUUAACAUGCUGAAAUCUAAAAAAAAAAAAAAAUAAAAAAAAUAGAACAGAUCUCAGCCUGGAUAAAGCAAAAUAUUUUAGACAUAUUUAUAAGCUCCAAAUCUAUGGCAGUUAUAAAAUAAAAGGUUGGUUUGAAAGAGGGGAUGAGAGAAAGAUAAUGAGAGCAAAAGAGCAAUAAGAGGGGGGAAUGCAAAAGUCGAAGACAGGAAGAGACAGAAACAGGGAGAAUCAAGGAGAAACAGGGAGAAACAGAGAAAGGGAAGAAAAGGGAUAUAUUUUCAAAUAAAAGAAAAUGUACAAACCAAGAUAUUUUAAUCCAUUAAUUCAAGGUAUUUUUGAGUUGGGUAACUUAUCAAAAUGUACUGUUUCACUGGUUUCAAUGAAUCAGCAUAUUCUUCUUUUAAAAAAAGUUAUUAAAAUAUCCUACAUGCACUGCUCUACAAAUAACCCUCUGUUCUGCUUUGAAGUGUUCCUUCAGUCAUUAUGCAGAACUUGCAUAAUGAGAUAGACUGCAAGCUGUCAAUAAUACUGCAAGCUUGCAGGAACAGAAAAUCAGGGUAUAUUAUGGCUUUGUUAACAUUGCUGGAAACAAAUUCUCUAAAUCAAGAGAUCCUAAAGCUUUUAUCUUUAUUAUUUUUUUCUGAUUUUAAGAGAUAAGGAAAUGCAAAGAUAAUCUGUUUAUAGAUUUUGUGGACUGACAGAAGAACAUUUAGCAAGUUCUACUAACUGCAGGUAAUCAAAGAACCGCAGUUCCUGGGAGUUUAUGAUUAAAUGCUCAGAUAUACUGUUUUUGCCUGCAUGGUGACUUGCACACAGGCAUAUAUAGAUUCAAAAAUAUGGAUAAAUAAAUAUACCCCAGGUAUCAGCUAUAUUAACAUUAAACCAUUUUCAAACAAUUAGCAGUCCCUAAAGGUAUGUUACAUCAUGUUUACAAGCUUCAGCAAUACAUAACCUUCAUAUAAUUAAAAUGUUUUUAUUUUCCCUCAAUUUUGGAGACAAACACUGGAGGAAAGCCACCUAAGGCUGCAAAAGUUUGAAGAAAUCCUAAAUAGAGGAAAACAAGAGGUUAGAACUAAAAAUGCUUGGCUGUUUUUGCCGUCUUAAACUAUAGACACUUCUGCCUUUCCAGACAUAAACAUGAACCUGCAAGAAGGCAGCUAUUCUAUGGAUCAUGUGUGGAUGUGAAGAAACAAAGAUGAAAGAGUAUGCAAGCUUGUCUGCACAGAAACUGCAAAAGUGCCUGGAAUAUUAGGGGAACACAGAAGCCAAGUAUCUAUUAGGAAGAUCGCAGCUGAACCUGAGUAGAAAUGAAUACUGAGAUUCCAUGCAAUAUUCAGCGAAGAGGAAAAAUUCUGCAACUUCAGAAGUUUAUACCACAAUAUGGAGAAGCACAGAACGGAGACAAAUAGUUCAAAGAGCAACAGAACUGUGAAAAUUACACAGUUUGGUUUGUUUUUUUUUUAAUUUACAAUGAAUUUUCUUCUCUUACAUACGCUUAGCCUUUUAUGUUUAGCUUAAGAUGCUUGUACAAUCAAGUUUCUUUCCAGCAAACAUUAACCUUUUGUGGGCAAACACAAAAAUCACUCCAUUUUUAUGUCUUCACAUGCACAUGUUUUCAUUCCAUUUAUUUAAGGGCCCAUCAUCUCAGAAAGUAAGUACAAUUCUGUCCAGUAAGCAAGAACCGCAGACAGGUCUCAAGUGAAUAAGGAAUGCCUUUGAAAAGCCUUUUUCUGCUGAAAAUGAAAACAUUCGCUGAGCAUGUCAGAGGAAGCUGUGUCUGUUGGAUUCCCAACCACAGCAUAUUUCUUCCUUGAAGAAACAGGAUGAAUGGCAGAGGAGAUGGUGAGCAGGGAUAAAACUUGAGUUCUGGUACUGCAGUUUCAGCCCAAAGCCUGCCCUGAAGGAGGGGAUACAAGAGGCUGCUAAGGAAAGGGAAGACAAAUCCUUCCUUCUGCUUAUGUAUGUCCAGACCUGGAAUUUAGAAAGACCAAUAAGGAAGGAGAACAGCAGCUGAAUCCAAACAGGGAAAAGGCAGUAACAACUCCUAUACAGCAAUUACAAAUGUCAGAGAUAAACCAGAAUGGCCUUAUCAGUGAAAGAGAAAGAUGGCUGAUCUUUUGAAAUUCUUCUGAAAAAUCCCUACAGAAUGAGCAGUAAAAAGCUGGCUUUGAAUCUCCUAAAAUUUUACAGAAGCAUUAAAUUAGUGUUUAUAUACAGUCAUUAAUUAAUGUAACCAAAUCAAUAGAAUGCAUGACGGUAUUGCAUAUUUUCCCCAUCCAAAAUUCUGUGUUUCCCUGUCAUGCUUCAGAGUUUGCAUCCUAUAGCAUGGUUCCUACAUUUUCCUUAACUUUAGAAACUGUUCUACUUACAACCACUGCUCUUCUGGCUGAGAACAACAAGAUGGGGUUCUAACCAUCAACACUGUUCGGCAUCAGAGUGAAGUUUGGUGAAAUGAACCUUCUACCCCCAGGUGUGAUGGAUUGGAGCUGAAAUACCUGGGUUGCAUAGACAGUUGCCAUGCCCUCCUACUCCUACCAAGAGCCGACAUGUUCAGAAAGUGAUCAAGAUGUAGCGAGAGAUCAGCAGAUAUCACUCUAACAGAUCAUGUUUUCUGAAGGUUCUGGAGAAACAAACUAAGGAGUGCUGGAGAGGUUCUGGAGAGCUGAUUUAGCAGAAAUGAACUUCCUCCUUUUUCAGUUUGCCUAAUAGAGAGAGAAAAUCUAACGAAAAAGGUAUUUUUAACAGGGCCAAAAAUUGUCUGAGCUCUCCCAAACAAGCAGCUUCAGAAAAAUAAAACACUGAAAAAUGCACAGCAAGAACUUAAUAUGACCAAGAUGAAUAAUGAAAAGUGACUUGACACUCUUUACUUAAAAGUCUUCUACAUUCUGGUUUCUGACUAUGAAUUAUUUAAAAGGUGUUUGGAAAACACCAUCACUUAUGGGAAAAAUAUGCAUCUCUAAAGAGAUCACAUCUUUGUGGACAGGUUCCUAAUUUAAUAUUUCAAUAUACUAACUCAGGGGUGCUAAGAUAUUGAAACAAGAAAAAGUAAUUUUAAGAAGUUUAUUUA